GGAUUGAGGCGCCGCCAUUUUUGCUGCCCGGACGCGGAGCGAGAGGCUGAGAGAGUCGGAGACACUAUCCGCUUCCAUCCGUCGCGCAGACCCUGCCGGAGCCGCUGCCGCUAUGGAUGAUCGAGAGGAUCUGGUGUACCAGGCGAAGCUGGCCGAGCAGGCUGAGCGAUACGACGUGCUCUGGAACUGAACCCGCAGUAUCUUCCAAGAAAUGGUGGAGUCAAUGAAGAAAGUAGCAGGGAUGGAUGUGGAGCUGACAGUUGAAGAAAGAAACCUCCUAUCUGUUGCAUAUAAGAAUGUGAUUGGAGCUAGAAGAGCCUCCUGGAGAAUAAUCAGCAGCAUUGAACAGAAAGAAGAAAACAAGGGAGGAGAAGACAAGCUAAAAAUGAUUCGGGAAUAUCGGCAAAUGGUUGAGACUGAGCUAAAGUUAAUCUGUUGUGACAUUCUGGAUGUACUGGACAAACACCUCAUUCCAGCAGCUAACACUGGCGAGUCCAAGGUUUUCUAUUAUAAAAUGAAAGGGGACUACCACAGGUAUCUGGCAGAAUUUGCCACAGGAAACGACAGGAAGGAGGCUGCGGAGAACAGCCUAGUGGCUUAUAAAGCUGCUAGUGAUAUUGCAAUGACAGAACUUCCACCAACGCAUCCUAUUCGCUUAGGUCUUGCUCUCAAUUUUUCCGUAUUCUACUACGAAAUUCUUAAUUCCCCUGACCGUGCCUGCAGGUUGGCAAAAGCAGCUUUUGAUGAUGCAAUUGCAGAACUGGAUACGCUGAGUGAAGAAAGCUAUAAGGACUCUACACUUAUCAUGCAGUUGUUACGUGAUAAUCUGACACUAUGGACUUCAGACAUGCAGGGUGACGGUGAAGAGCAGAAUAAAGAAGCGCUGCAGGACGUGGAAGACGAAAAUCAGUGAGACAUAAGCCAACAAGAGAAACCAUCUCUGACCACCCCCUCCUCCCCAUCCCACCCUUUGGAAACUCCCCAUUGUCACUGAGAACCACCAAAUCUGACUUUUACAUUUGGUCUCAGAAUUUAGGUUCCUGCCCUGUUGGUUUUUUUUUUUUUUUUUUAAACAGUUUUCAAAAGUUCUUAAAGGCAAGAGUGAAUUUCUGUGGAUUUUACUGGUCCCAGCUUUUAGGUUCUUUAAGACACUAACAGGACUACAUAGAGGCUUUUUCAGCAUUACUGUGUCGUCUCCGUGCCAGAUGUGGCAAGAUCACCAUUAGCAAAUGGAAAUUACAUUUGAAAGCCAUUAGACUUAUAGGUGAUGCAAGCAUCUAAGAGAGAGGUUAAUCACACUAUAGAGGCAUAAGUGGUAUCAGUUUUCAUUUUUCUAAUUGUUUAAACUGUGUUUUAUACCAGUGUUUGCAAGUAAUUGGGUGUUAGCUUGAGAUGGUUAAAGGUGGUUUGGGGAGGGACUUCGUUGUAAUGGUUUUGCUGUAAAAAAUGUUUCCAACUCCGCUGAAAUGUUGCUGAAAAGCAUGGUGCUGGUAACAGUUCAACAAUCCGUGGCUGCUCAUUCUUGCCUACUUUACUCUCCCACUGAAGCAGGUUAGCGUUGAAGGUGGUAUGGAAAAGCCUGCAUGCCUGUUCAAUUCUUUUGUUUCUUCUCCUUCCCCCUCCCCCUACCUCCUUCCCCUCACUCCUCCCCUCCUUCGCUCGCUCAACCUCUUUUGUUCAGUAUGUGUAACUUGAAGCUAAUUUGUACUACUGGAUAUCUGACUGGAGCCACAGAUACAGAAUCUGUAUUGUUCUUACUGAAACACAGCAUGGAAUUAACAUUAAACUUAAAUAAAACAAACCUAAAUUAAAAAUGCCAAAUAUCGCGCCUCCAUCCUUUAUACUUCUAAAAUAAAAUCUCUAGUCCAAACACACUGACAGUAUUAUGUUUGCCUGAAUGUGAAACAUUCCUCCUUUUUUCUUCCAUAAAUAAUUUGUUUGCUUCCCAAAGAUGUAUGUUUUGGAAAAAAAUUGCCUGUAGUCUGGUUGUGAAGAACACUGAGUCAGUUGAUGGUGUGUCUUGUCCUCCAGACCAGGCAGCAACAUGGUAUUUAUUUUAAUCAUUAAAGUACAACAUGAGUAGUA